rnacentral:rRNA from 1 species
CUCUUUUUGAAAAUAAUUUAAAGUAGGGCCUGCCCACUGAAUUAUUAAAGGGCCGCAGUAUUUUAACUGUGCAAAGGUAGCAUAAUCAUUAGUUUUUUAAUUGAAAGCUGGAAUGAAUGGUUUGAUGAAAAAAUUUCUGUUUCAAUAUUAAUUUUUUAAAACUUUAUUUUUAAGUUAAAAAGCUUAAAUAUUUAUAAAAGACGAGAAGACCCUAUAGAGUUUAAUAAAUUUGAAUUUAUUAUAUUUUAGAAUUAUAGAUUAUAUUAUAUUUAAAUUUAUUUAGUUGGGGUGAUUAAAAAAUUAAUUUAACUUUUUUUAUAAUUUUUCAUUUAUUUAUGAUUAAAUGACCCAUUUUAAUGGUUACAAGAAUUAAUUACCUUAGGGAUAACAGCGUAAUUUUUUUUUAGAGUUCUUAUUAAAAGAAAAGAUUGCGA